ACCGAAUAGAUACCCUGGUAGUCCACGCCGUAAACGUUGGGCGCUAGGUGUGGGGUCCUUCCACGACCUCCGUGCCGCAGCUAAACGCAUUAAGCGCCCGCCUGGGGAGUACGGCCGCAAGGCUAAACUCAAAGGAAUUGACGGGGCCCGGCACAAGCGGCGGAGCAUGCGGAUUAAUUCGAUGCAACGCGAAGAACCUUACCAAGGCUUGACAUGCACAGGAAAGUUCCAGAGAUGGUUCCCCGCAAGGUCUGUGCACAGGUGGUGCAUGGUUGUCGUCAGCUCGUGUCGUGAGAUGUUGGGUUAACGUCCCGCAACGAGCGCAACCCUUCGUCUUAUGUUGCCAGCACGUAAUGG
rnacentral:rRNA from 1 species